GGGGAUGUAGCUCAGUGGUAGAGCACUUGCUUAACAUGUGAAAGGCCCUGAGUACGAGCCCCAAUAUGCCCA
rnacentral:tRNA from 1 species